CCUACGGGUGGCAGCAGUAGGGAAUAUUGCUCAAUGGGGGAAACCCUGAUGCAGCAACGCCGCGUGGAUGAUGAAGGUUUUCGGAUUGUAAAGUCCUUUUGUUAGAGAAGAUAGUUACGGUUUCUAACUAAUAAGCACCUGCUAACUCCUUGCCAGCAGCCGCGGUAAUACGUAGGGGCCAAGCGUUACUCGGAAGCACUGGGCGUAAAGUGCGCGUAGGCGGGAUAGCAAGUCAGAUGUGAAAUCCUAUGGCUUAACCAUAGAACUGCAUUUGAAACUGUUAUUCUAGAGUAUAGGAGAGGUAGGUGGAACUCUAGGUGUAGGGGUAAAAUGCGUAGAGAUAAAGAGGAAUACUCAUGGCGAAGGCGACCUGCUAGAACAUAACUGACGCUGAUGCGCGAAAGCGUGGGGAGCAAACAGGAUUAGAUACCCUGGUAGUC
rnacentral:rRNA from 1 species